UACGUAGGUGGCAAGCGUUGUCCGGAUUUAUUGGGUUUAAAGGGUGCGUAGGCGGUUCCUUAAGUCCGUUGUGAAAUACGGCAGCUUAACUGUCGAGGUGCAAUUGAUACUGGGGAACUAGAGUACUGAUGAGGUAUGCGGAAUGGACGGUGUAGCGGUGAAAUGCUUAGAUAUCGUCCAGAACACCGAUAGCGAAGGCAGCAUACUAAGGAGUAACUGACGCUGAGGCACGAAAGUGUGGGGAUCAAACAGG
rnacentral:rRNA from 1 species